CCACAUUCAGAAAAGAGUAGUUAAGAUAAAGCCCGCGCCGUGGUCUCUGUGUGGCGUCGGCCCAACACCCAAUCAAAUCAGGGCUACUACGUUGGAUUGAUCGACAGUUCAACCAAUCAAAAUGCAGAAAAACACAGCUCCCCGCCCUUCCCCUCUUCAAUGCGCGAGUUCCUGUUUGCCGGUGUUUUUCGUUCUAGCAUUUAAGUUUAGAGAUCGACACCAAAAAACGGUUUGCAGUUUGCAGAACAUGUGGAUAAAAAGAAUUACCGACAGUGGACAGUGACUCAACAACAACCAACUUCAUCUGAUUCUCGAAGCAGCAAAAUCAAGAUGUACAAAAAGUAGAGCAAGAAAAAGAGGAGCAGCUGGAUGAUCUCCAAUGGAGAGGAGGCUUUAAGCAACACAUAAGGAGCUCCACAGCGGGGUCAGAGGACUGGGCUCCUUUUAAGGAAGGCAGAUGAAGGUGGGCCAUCAUCGCUUGGAGACGCAGACGUUCUUUGGAGAGCUGUUGGAACCAGGAGGGAGGUUGUAUUUUAUGAAUUAGGAAAAAUACUAUGUAUGUAGAUGACUGCUGCAUAAAAUAUAUGUGAAGAUUUUGGAAUUACUUGGGUUUUAUGCAUAAACUGGACAAACAAUUGUGUCCAAUAAAAACAUGAAAACACAUUUUGGUGUGAUUUAAGCAGAAAAUGUUUUUUCUCCAUUGUUGUGAUUUAGACUGAGAAAAAAAAUACAUCAUGUGUCCAUUUCGUGCAGAAAUGGAGGUACUCUCGAGGGGUUCACAUACU